rnacentral:rRNA from 1 species
CCCGUAGGCGGUGUGGCAAGUCGGUAGUGAAAUCUCUCGGCUUAACUGAGAGGCUGCUGCCGAAACCGCCAUGCUCGAGUGCGAGAGAGGCGAGUGGAAUUGCGGGUGUAGCGGUGAAAUGCGUAGAUAUCCGCAGGAACAUCCGAGGCGAAAGCGGCUCGCUGGAUCGCAACUGACGCUGAGGGACGAAAGCUAGGGGAGCAAACAGGAUUAGAUACCCUGGUAGUCCUAGCCCUAAACCAUCAGGACUUGGGGUUUGCCCUGUACGGGGCAAGUCCCGGAGCUAACGCGUUAAGUCCUGCGCCUGGGGAGUACGGUCGCAAGGCUGAA